rnacentral:piRNA from 1 species
UGCAAUGGUCUAGGGGGAGAAAACUCACUC